AUCAUAGCGGCGUUUCAUUACCAAGUUCAUCAACAGUUGCCCCCAUCACCGCCCCGAUUUCGGCGGCGGUGGGGGACCGCGUUGCUCUGGAGGCGGCGCCUGGCCUGUGGCGUCUCUCCACGCCGCUCGCCGUCGGUGUUCUAUUCGAGAGCUUGCCUCCUCGCCGUCGUGUCCUUGCGGCGCGAAACAGCUUCCCCCCCGCCCUCUUUUCCUCUCGUGAUUUCGACUGUUACUGUUGCAACGGGAGAGGAUGGUGUGGUGGUGGGCCAUAGAAGUGGGCCCACAUCCCGCAUCUUGUCGUUGACCUUGCCGCCGUUGUGGCCAGUCGGCCAUGGUUCGGUGAGCCGGCGGCGCGGCGCGACGCGGCGCCUCCGCCCUCCCCUCGCUGGUGACCUGCUCGUGCGGCGGGCAAGAUUCCUCUCGGCCACAGAUCCGAUUGGUAUCGCCGGGACCCCUCUUCCGGGGCCAUCCCCCCCUUCGCGAACAUGCGCCAGCCGGGCUCCUCGACCUCGGGCACGAUCUGGUCGCCUGGUCGCCAUCGCUGAGGUCGAUGUACGCAGGCAUGUCUGUGUGUUAGGCAUUCCGGGUUUAGAGGGCAGCAUCCUCGAUGUGCUUUGAGGUCCUGUUCAUUGAGUUCUACCUACUUCAUUGUUCUGAAUUUGUGUGGAUAUCUAUUGGAUGGAGGGCAGUUGACUUUUAAGAACACAGGAGCCAUCCAUUCUGAUUUUAAAGGUCCAUUCAACCUGUCAAAGAGCAGCAAAAGAAAUGCCUCAGAGGCUUGUGACAGAUACAACUUUGCCAGGAGAUCUCGCUCUGUCUGAUGCGCACACCCUGCUAUGGUGUAUCAGCAUCUGCUACGCGCUUGGCCCAUGCAUUCUAUUGGCAAUGGUUAAUUGUUGUAUGGCGACAAGUGAUGCUUAGAAGAAUUUCAUAUGAUGGUAUGGAUCUCCUGCAUAUUGAGGAAUCGGGCUAUGCUUGCCAGGGUCUGUAUUUUUGUAUAUGUGGAGACUGGCAAUUAUGUAUUUUUUUGCUUCGGCCAUGGAGAAUCUGCAGGCGAUGGUGCCAGACGCAGCAAACUAUUCGUCGCCCUCGGCGUACCAGGUCCUUGUGCGCAGGGCGCAGAGUAUACUCUCCCGAAUUGUUUUUUCACCUUGGAUUUUGCAUUUCAACUCAAUAUUCUCUUGAUUGUCUGGAUUUGGUUGUGUGUUGAUUUCUCGCAGCACUGAGUUACUCCAAAAUGUGCCAUGUAGCUACCAUCUGAAAUAACUAAACUGCAAUUAGAUGUAUUCACAAAAACUUGUCAGGGUUUGAUGGGAUAAUUUGUUAUGUCGUGUGAAAACUCAUACCAGUUGGUUGAUUGUACAAUAGCUCGAAGAAGACUUACCAAUUAUGUGGGGCAGUAGUAACCUCUGUAUCUGGAAUUUCUUAGCUUAUCAUGUAUUUCUAGAGAAGGAUAUACAGAUAUAAAGAGCAUCACAUGCAAUUUCCUUUCCAAAUGACGCAGCUAAAUAGUUAAUGAUUACCAAGCCCCAUGUACCAGGCGGAUUUAAGUUUAUGAGGUAUAAAUCUGACUUCAGAAAUCAUAGUUCAGUCAGUGUGUUGUACGAUGAAGUAAAAGUA